UCGAUUUACCUUCGGGUAUUGAGGAUGGCGGACGGGUGAGUAACGCGUAAGGAACUUGCCUCUUGGUCUGGGACAACUGUUGGAAACGACAGCUAAUACCGGAUAUUAUGAGAUUCUCGCAUGGGAAACUUAUGAAAGCUAUAUGCGCCAAGAGAGAGCCUUGCGUUCCAUUAGCUAGUUGGUGGGGUAACGGCCCACCAAGGCGACGAUGGAUAGCCGGCCUGAGAGGGUGAACGGCCACAAGGGGACUGAGACACGGCCCUUACUCCUACGGGAGGCAGCAGUGGGGAAUAUUGGACAAUGGGCCACAAGCCUGAUCCAGCAAUUCUGUGUGCACGAUGAAGGUCUUCGGAUUGUAAAGUGCUUUCAGUUGGGAAGAAGAAAGUGACGGUACCAACAGAAGAAGCGACGGCUAAAUACGUGCCAGCAGCCGCGGUAAUACGUAUGUCGCAAGCGUUAUCCGGAUUUAUUGGGCGUAAAGCGCGUCUAGGCGGAAAAAUAAGUCUGAUGUUAAAAUGCGGGGCUCAACUCCGUAUUGCGUUGGAAACUGUUUUUCUAGAGUACUGGAGAGGUGGGCGGAACUACAAGUGUAGAGGUGAAAUUCGUAGAUAUUUGUAGGAAUGCCGAUGGAGAAGUCAGCUCACUGGACAGAUACUGACGCUAAAGCGCGAAAGCGUGGGGAGCAAACAGGAUUAGAUACCCUGG
rnacentral:rRNA from 1 species